rnacentral:rRNA from 1 species
GGGGAAUUUUCCGCAAUGGGCGAAAGCCUGACGGAGCAACGCCGCGUGAGGGAUGAAGGCCUCUGGGCUGUAAACCUCUUUUCUCAAGGAAGAAGAUCUGACGGUACUUGAGGAAUAAGCCACGGCUAAUUCCGUGCCAGCAGCCGCGGUAAUACGGGAGUGGCAAGCGUUAUCCGGAAUUAUUGGGCGUAAAGCGUCCGCAGGCGGUCUUGUAAGUCUGUCGUUAAAGCGUGGAGCUUAACUCCAUUUCAGCGAUGGAAACUGCAAGACUAGAGUGUGGUAGGGGCAGAGGGAAUUCCCGGUGUAGCGGUGAAAUGCGUAGAUAUCGGGAAGAACACCAGUGGCGAAGGCGCUCUGCUGGGCCAUAACUGACGCUCAUGGACGAAAGCCAGGGGAGCGAAAGGGAUUAGAUACACCUGUAGUC